rnacentral:rRNA from 1 species
CGAGGGGCAGCAUGGUCUUAGCUUGCUAAGGCCGAUGGCGACCGGCGCACGGGUGAGUAACACGUAUCCAACCUGCCGUCUACUCUUGGACAGCCUUCUGAAAGGAAGAUUAAUACAAGAUGGCAUCAUGAGUCCGCAUGUUCACAUGAUUAAAGGUAUUCCGGUAGACGAUGGGGAUGCGUUCCAUUAGAUAGUAGGCGGGGUAACGGCCCACCUAUUCUUCGAUGGAUAGGGGUUCUGAGAGGAAGGUCCCCCACAUUGGAACUGAGACACGGUCCAAACUCCUACGGGAGGCAGCAGUGAGGAAUAUUGGUCAAUGGGCGCAGGCCUGAACCAGCCAAGUAGCGUGAAGGAUGACUGCCCUAUGGGUUGUAAACUUCUUUUAUAAAGGAAUAAAGUCGGGUAUGUAUACCCG